rnacentral:rRNA from 1 species
GACGAACGCUGGCGGCGUGCCUAAUACAUGCAAGUAGGACGCAGUUGCGAACGGGUGAGUAACGCGUAGGUCACUACAUAUUAAAGGGGGAUAACUACUGGAAACGAUAGCUAAUACCGCCUACUAGUAGAUGGACCUGCGUUGUAUUUGCUAGUAGGUAGGGUAAAGGCCUACCUAGGCAACGAUACAUAGCCGAGCUGGGAAGGUGAACGAGCACACUGGGACUGGGGCAAGGGCCAGACUCCUGCGGGGAGCAGCAAUAGGGGAACUUCGGCAAUGGGGGGAAACCUGGCCGAACCACGCCGGGGGAGUGGAGAAGGUUUUCGGGGCGUAAAGCUCUGUUGUUCAGGAAGCGGUACUUAACCAGAAAGAAACGGCUAACUACGUGCCAGCAGCCGCGGUAAUUC